rnacentral:rRNA from 1 species
GGACCAUUAAUUUAUUAAUGGUUAGUAGCGAAAGGGUUAGGAAUGGACAGGUAACGUACCCUGUGCUCCGGAAUAGCGUCGUUCGCCUUCGGGCGAGCUUCCGAAAGGGGCGGUAAUACCGGAUAAUAUCAUUUGUUGAUGGACGGAUGUUCAAAGAUUUAUCGGCACAGGAGCGGCCUAUCUCCUAUCAGCUUGUUGGUGAGGUAAUGGCUCACCAAGGCUAUGACGGGUAGCGGGACUGAGAGGUUGGCCCGCAACAUCGGGACUGAGACACUGCCCGGACCUCCACGGAGGGCUGCAGUAACGAAUCUUGCGCAAUGGGCUAAAGCCUGACGCAGCGACGCCGCGUGCGGGAGGAAGUCCCUCGGGAUGUAAACCGCUGUCAGGGGUAAGAAAGUUCACUUCGGUGGAUUGAUCCAACCCAAAGGAAGUCACGGCUAACUUCGUGCCAGCAGCCGCGGUAAGACGAAGGUGGCAAGCGUUGUUCGGUAUUACUGGGCUUAAAGCGUGUGUAGGCGGAAAGGUAAGCGUCCUGUGAAAGCCCCCGGCUUAACCGGGGAACUGCUCGACGAACUGCUUUUCUUGAGGCAAGUAGGGGUGCAUGGAACUCUUGGUGGAGCGGUGGAAUGCGUAGAUAUCAAGAGGAACGCCGGCGGUGAAAACGGUGCACUGGGCUUGUGC